rnacentral:rRNA from 1 species
AGAGUUUGAUCAUGGCUCAGAAUCAACGCUGGCGGCGCGCUAACACAUGCAAGUCGAACGAGAAAGUGGAGCAAUCCAUGAGUACAGUGGCGUACGGGUGAGUAACACGUGGGUGAUCUACCUCUUAGUGAGGAAUAACCCUGGGAAACCGGGGCUAAUACCGCAUAAGCCUGAGAAGGGAAAGCAGCAAUGCGCUGAGAGAGGAGCCCGCGGCCGAUUAGCUAGUUGGUGAGGUAAGAGCCCGCCAAGGCAGAGAUCGGUAGCCGGCCUGAGAGGGCACACGGCCACACUGGCACUGAAACACGGGCCAGACUCCUACGGGAGGCAGCAGUGNNGAAUCUUGCACAAUGGGGGAAACCCUGAUGCAGCGACGCCGCGUGAGCGAUGAACCCUUCGGGGUGUAAAGCUCUUUCGUCAGGGAAGAUCAUGACGGUACCUGGAGAAGCAGCUGCGGCUAACUACGUGCCAGCAGCCGCGGUAAUACGUAGGCAGCAAGCGUUGUUCGGAGUUACUGGGCGUAAAGGGUGUGUAGGCGGUUCUUUAAGUUUGGUGUGAAAUCUCCCGGCUCAACCGGGAGGGUGCGCCGAAUACUGAGGGACUAGAGUGUGGGAGAGGGUCGCGGAAUUCCCGGUGUAGCGGUGAAAUGCGUAGAUAUCAGGAGGAACACCGGUGGUGUAGACGGCUUUCUGGACCAUAACUGACGCUGAGACACGAAAGCGUGGGUAGCAAACAGGAUUAGAUACCCUAGUAGUCC